CCAAAAUUGCCGCGAAUCGGACGACUUGCCAUAGAUCAUGAUUGAUUCAACUCCAGUGCAUCUAGCAGGAAAGAAGCGGGCAUUGGGGGAUUCUGACGCUAUGGAAGAAAAUCAACAGAAGGAAAUAGUGGAGGUUUCAAAAUUUUGUGAAUGACCACUACGUGUGUGCUUGAGAUCUUGCCAUUGUGACCA